rnacentral:sRNA from 14 species
CUUGGCGGUGGUGUAGCGAUCGGGGACGUCCGAAGAACUCACCGAGCACCCGGGCGCCAAGGAUGACACCAAGUCCUGGCAGG